UACGGAGGGGGCUAGCGUUGUUCGGAAUUACUGGGCGUAAAGAGCACGUAGGCGGUUUAGAAAGUUGGAAGUGAAAUCCCGGGGCUUAACCUCGGAACUGCUUUCAAAACUCCUAAGCUAGAGUAUGACAGAGGAAAGUAGAAUUCCCGGUGUAGAGGUGAAAUUCGUAGAUAUCGGGAGGAAUACCAGAGGCGAAGGCGACUUUCUGGGUCAUAACUGACGCUAAGGUGCGAAAGCGUGGGGAGCAAACAGG
rnacentral:rRNA from 1 species